rnacentral:rRNA from 1 species
CCUACGGGUGGCAGCAGUGGGGAAUAUUGGGCAAUGGACGCAAGUCUGACCCAGCCACGUCGCGUGCAGGAAGACGGCCCUCGGGUUGUAAACUUCCUUUUAGGGGGAAGAGCAGAAGACGGUACCCCUUGAAUAAGCCACGGCUAACUACGUGACAGCAGCCGCGGUAAUACGUAGGUGGCAAGCGUUGUCCGGAUUUACGGGGUGUAAAGGGCGUGCAGCCGGAGAGACAAGUCAGUUGUGAAAUCCACGGGCUCAACCCGGGAAGUGCAUUUGAAACUGUUUCCCUUGAGUGUCGGAGAGGUAAUCGGAAUUCCUGGUGUAGCGGUGAAAUGCGUAGAUAUCAGGAAGAACACCAGUGGCGAAGGCGGAUUACCGGACGAUAACUGACGGUGAGGCGCGAAAGCGUGGGGAUCAAACAGGAUUAGAUACCCGUGUAGUC